rnacentral:rRNA from 1 species
UACGUAGGGGGCUAGCGUUGUCCGGAUUUAUUGGGCGUAAAGAGCGUGUAGGCGGCCAGGUAGGUCUGCUGUGAAAACUCGAGGCUCAACCUCGAGACGUCGGCGGAAACCAUCUGGCUAGAGUCCGGAAGAGGAGAGUGGAAUUCCUGGUGUAGCGGUGAAAUGCGCAGAUAUCAGGAAGAACACCCGUGGCGAAGGCGGCUCUCUGGGACGGUACUGACACUAAGGCGCGAAAGCGUGGGGAGCGAACAGG